CCUACGGGUGGCAGCAGUGAGGAAUAUUGGUCAAUGGGCGCGAGCCUGAACCAGCCAUGUAGCGUGAAGGAUGACUGCCCUACGGGUUGUAAACUUCUUUUAUGAAGGAAUAAAGUGAGGCACGUGUGCCCUUUUGUAUGUACUUUAUGAGUAGGAGUCGGCUAACUCCGUGCCAGCAGCCGCGGUAAUACGGAGGAUCCGAGCGUUAUCCGGAUUUAUUGGGUUUAAAGGGAGCGUAGAUGGGUUGUUAAGUCAGUUGUGAAAGUUUGCGGCUCAACCUUAAAAUUGCAAUUGAUACUGGCAGCCUAGAGUACAGUUGAGGGAGGUAGAAUUCGAGGUGUAGCGGUGAAAUGCUUAGAGAUCACGAAGAACUCCGAUUGCGAAGGCAGCCUCCUAAAC
rnacentral:rRNA from 1 species